GGAUGCGAUCAUACCAGCACUAAAGCACCGGAUCCCAUCAGAACUCCGAAGUUAAGCGUGCUUGGGCGAGAGUAGUACUAGGAUGGGUGACCUCCUGGUAAGUCCUCGUGUUGCAUUCCC
rnacentral:rRNA from 1 species